rnacentral:lncRNA from 1 species
GUGGGCCACGGGAUUCGUGGGCAGAGGAAGGGCACCAGCUCUGUGUUCCUUGUGCACAUGAAGCAGGAGGGCUCAUAGGCCUGCAUGCUGUGGACUUAGCUGAGCGGCACAGCUACAUCAAGGGCACCUUGAAGGACAUGCCCCUGCUGAGAUGGUCUCCAGGAUCCACACCAGUUUAAGCAGCAGACAGAGCUGUCCAUCACCACCAAGGGCCUCCACACGGGCCAAUUUCUGUUUGUGUACUGUAGCAAGAGGGCCCAGCUGGACGUCGGCAGCGUCCUCCCUGCAGGCACCACACCUGUACCAUCAAGCGCUGCCUGGAGGAGAGGCUGAGACUGGAACUUGUUAGCCUGGGCCUUUGAGAACUACACCGCAGUCACCUCCCCUAGCCCGGAAACCAGGAAGACUUACAUGAAGCUGCCCUCCAAGAGGAUCAUCUCAGCCAACAGAGCUGUGGUCAAUGUGGGAGCCAGAGGUGGCCGAACUGACCAGCCAUCCUGAAGGCAGGCCAUGCCCACUACAUAUAAGGCAAAGAAGAGCUGCUGACCAUGGUGCAGAGUAUGGCCGCAAGCCCCAAGGAACGUCCCUUCAGAGAUGGCAACCACUGGCACGUUGGCGAACCUGCCACUGCAGAGAUGUCUCUGCUGGUAGCAAAGUGGGUCUCAUUGCUGCCCACUGGACU